ensembl:lncRNA
GAAAGAGAGAAGAAGGCUGGAGGCGGGGUGGAUAGGAGGAGGGAGGCAGACAGUGGAGCCUGAGGCCAUACCCUGGCCAGCCCAGGGUGCCCUGUAAGAAGCUCUAGUUUUAAAGGGAAGCAGGGCAAAGACUCUGAUGCUGGGAAAGAUCAAAGGCGGGAGGAGAAGGGGACAACAGAGGAUGAGAUGGUUGGAUGGCAUCACCGACUCGAUGGACAUGAGUUUAAGCAAGCUUUCCUGGAGUUGGGGAUGGACAGGGAGGCCUGGCAUGCUGCAGUCCAUGGGGUCGCAGAGUCGGAUACAACUGAGCGACUGAACUGAACUGAGGGCAAAGACACUGACCGGGGCUCUGGGCGCCGGAGGAGGCAUCUGCAGGGGGCAGGCUUGUGGCAGAGAUUGGGGGUAGAGAGAGGGGUGGUUGCGGCCUGAAGCUGCCGGAGUGAAUGGUGUGAGGGAGACCCCCAGCUGUCCUUCCCUAGAAAUGCAAACUCAGAGGAAGAGGUGGAGGGUGCACUUCAGUGGGUGGGCUGAGGGCACGGGGCGAAAAAGGGGCACUGAGGGGCUCUGCAGGGACAGGGAGGCCUGGAUGAGAGGGUCUGGCAAGUGGGCUCUGCCGCCGACUCCUGGGGACACUGGCUUGUGGCCGUGCAGCCAGCUCGGGGAGGGGGUGGGGGGGUUGGGUUUCCGGUCUAGUCCUCUGGCUCCUGUCCCGUCCGCGUUCUGUUCUUAAUAAAUACCCCUAUGUCCUGAGCAGCCAGCCCCUGGCCAGAUGUUGGGCCGGCACUCGUCACAUGGGACCCACACCCUGCAAGGCCACUGGGUUUCACCGCUGCAGAAGGACCUGGGGAAGCUGGAAGCUGCCCAUGGCGGGGUGGCGAGGCCAGGUGAACCCAGGUCUGCUCAGCCCCUGGGGCUGCCUUUCUCACCGGACUGUUCCCUAAUGAAGCGGUGACAGCUCCUUUGCAAGCACGGGGCAUGACUCUGGAUGUGUGGGGAUGGCACACAAGUGGGAAGCCCUGGGUGAUGCUGGAGGCCGAGGCUGGGCGCCAGCAGACCCAUCAGGCUGCGCGGAACCUCAGGGGAGGGGGCUGCUAGGGUCACAGCCACGGCCCAGGGCCCCGCAGGAAGGGGCUGAUGGAAGGAUCACAAGCCCGAGGAAUGUAGGAAGAGCAGCUCUCUCCUGCACCCGAGGGCCCCACAGUCAGCAAGCUUCCACUGCCCUCACCUGCCUUCUGGGUGAUUCCACACUGCGGGGAGGCUUCCUGGGGGACAGGGGGCUGCACCUGCUUCUGGGACCAAAGACUCGUGACCGUGAUGCUCACCAUUCAUCUCCUGGGGAAGACAGGGGACAAGAGGGGGGCCCUGGGACCCUGGCCUGAGGAACAUCCAUCUGUCCAGCCUAGAAUUCGAGGUGCACGCGCGCACGGGCAGAAAUCAAGGCUCCUUUCUCUGCAGGCUUCCCUGGCCACUGGAGAAAUCCAGAGAGGUCUGUGACACAUCCAGGGGCCCUCAUGAGUGGCCACCUGACCACACGCCUUCCCCGGCCAGUGGGUUUCGGGUCAAGGAAAAAUUUUAAAUUCUGAAUAGAAAAGGUUACAUGGAUUCCACAGCGGUUAACUCCCUGGGUCACUGUCAUGUCCCUGAACUUACAUGGAAAUAAACCAUGAAAACGGGACUCCCUUCCCAAACUGGUUAUGUCUAACACGGCCCCUGCAUCCUUGCUCCUCUGGCCUUGGUGCCAGCGAGGCUUGAAGAUGGGAAUGAGAACACUGUCGGCAGAGAAAGGGCUUCUAGUCUGACGCUGAAACACAGAUGAGCUGCCUUCAUUUUAAAAGAAAACCCUUGAAACCCACUACCGCCUCCUCUGUUGCCAAAACUUGGGCUCACAAUUUAGCAGGCCGCCUCCUGGAGCAGAUCACCAUGGCUAAAAAUAGCAGGAGAGGGGUCACGUUUUCUAGGGAGGAAUCAAUGAAGCCCCAGCGCCGGAGGGGGGGAAGGGAAGAAACCAGCCUAGCAUACUGGUUGUGAAAGGCUAAGUGAAAACAGAAGUCAUCUGGGAAAAUAUUAUAUUAUAAACACAUCUAAUAAUCUGUACACACUCAUAUACAUCCCGAAGAGAAGCCUUACAAGGAAUUCCGUUUCUUUUCAAAAGAAGGCUUCCCUAUGAUAAAGCAUUCCUAUGGUGGGAAGUAACUACAAUGAAAUAAUUUAAUAAUUUCGUUUAUACUCUAUCUGCGUUCACUACAUAAUAACGUCUAUGCUAACGUGGGGCGGGGGUGCCAAUGGGUGUGGCUGGAUUAGAACAGUAAUGCGUUCUUCAAAAAUAGUAAAGACUUUUUUUUUUAACCCCUCUAUUCACAUUUAAAAUAACCACACAGUGAUGAAACACAGAAUUAAAAACCGGGCGGAGAAGGGAUUACGGACCUGUCCUCAAGAUUCCCAGGCCGGUGGCUUGUGCACCUGUUUAUCCUGGGAAACGCCCGGAUUCCACCGAACUACAUCCAGGUGAGAGAUGCCUGUGAAACGGUGACCCACGUAGAAACUGUGUAAAGCUUUAUUUUUUUCC